rnacentral:rRNA from 1 species
UACGUAGGGGGCGAGCGUUGUCCGGAUUUAUUGGGCGUAAAAGGCUUGUAGGUGGCCAGCGCACGUCGACGGUGAAAGCGCCCGGCUCAACUGGGCGAGGUUCGGCGAUACGGCGCGGCUCGAGGCCGGUAGGGGGUCGCGGAAUUCCCGGUGUAGUGGUGGAAUGCGUAGAGAUCGGGAGGAACACCAGUGGCGAAGGCGGCGACCUGGACCGGUACUGACACUGAGGAGCGAAAGCGUGGGGAGCGAUCCGG